rnacentral:rRNA from 1 species
UACGUAGGGUGCGAGCGUUGUUCGGAAUUACUGGGCGUAAAGCGCGUGUAGGCGGCCCAGCAAGUCGGAUGUGAAAGCCCUGGGCUUAACCUAGGAAGUGCAUUCGAAACUGCUGGGCUUGAGUUCUGGAGAGGAAGGCGGAAUUCUCGGUGUAGAGGUGAAAUUCGUAGAUAUCGAGAGGAACACCGGUGGCGAAGGCGGCCACCUGGACGGUCACUGACGCUGAGACGCGAAAGCGUGGGUAGCAAACAGG